UCUAAUAUGGCAGAAUAGUGCAAUAAAUUUAAGCUUUAUAUAUGUGAUAUUUAUAUUACUAUUAGAA
rnacentral:tRNA from 1 species